rnacentral:rRNA from 1 species
GACGAACGCUGGCGGCGUGCUUAACACAUGCAAGUCGAGCGGAAAGGCCCUUCGGGGUACUCGAGCGGCGAACGGGUGAGUAACACGUGAGUAACCUGCCCCAGACUUUGGGAUAACCCUCCGAAACGGGGGCUAAUACCGGAUACGACACAGCUUCGCAUGGGGUCUGUGUGGAAAGUUUUUCGGUUUGGGAUGGGCUCGCGGCCUAUCAGCUUGUUGGUGGGGUGAUGGCCUACCAAGGCGACGACGGGUAGCCGGCCUGAGAGGGCGACCGGCCACACUGGGACUGAGACACGGCCCAGACUCCUACGGGAGGCAGCAGUGGGGAAUAUUGCACAAUGGGCGGAAGCCUGAUGCAGCGACGCCGCGUGAGGGAUGACGGCCUUCGGGUUGUAAACCUCUUUCAGCAGGGACGAAGCGUAAGUGACGGUACCUGCAGAAGAAGCGCCGGCCAACUACGUG